AUACUGAUGAGAGACCAGAACAGGGCCCAGCUAACCAAGGAUGUAUUUAAAGUUUCAGGUGUACUGGAAAUGCAAACAGCUGCCACAAUACAAGAAGUAAAAUUGUACCUUCUAGCAAUAACUGACUUGAAUAAAAUCUCCUCCUUUUCUAAGAAAACACAGAUGGGAGUGAAUUAGGAAGAGAAAAAGUCUACUGUUGUGAUGCUUUAAUCCAUUUUAAUAUGUGAGCCUGAAAUUCCUCCUAAAACCAAGUCCCUGAACUUUUAUUACUAAAAGUAAUAAAAAUUCAGGGACUUUGUUUUUAAGAGGAAUUAGGUGCUAGCAGGCAUUUUCUAAGGGUUGAGAUGACAGUGGCCUGAAGAAUGACAGCAGGACAGUCAACUCUGGAGUGUUGCAUCAGUGAUUCUACACACGCCAGCCUAAGCCAGAGCUGCUGAAAUGUGUUCUCAUGACUGGGAAUCCAGCUGCUCUCUCUAGGAUGCAGAUCUUGGAAGGAAAAGCUCCUAACUCUUUCUGGCACAGAUCAUCUUGGGGUCAACAGCUGAAAAAAUGAAGUAGGAAACUCAUUGCUUGCACUGAAAUGCAUUACUUUUCCUUAAUAAGAUAAAAUACAUGCCUGAAGGACAGCAUCCUGUGACAGUGAUCCACAUUCCAGCUGUUUGUGGGGAACUGCUGCCUGUAGGAUGGACUCACAUUGAAGAAGGUCAUGGAGAACUGGCUGCCAUGGGAGGGACCCCACAGUGCAGCAGGGGAUGGACUCCUCUUCCUGAGCAGUGGCAGAAACAACGUGUGAUGAACUGACCAU